GUGCUUGCUUCAGUAGCUCACAUGCUAAAAUAGGAAUGAUUCAGAGAAGAUUAUCAUGGCCCCUGAACAAGCAUGACAUACAAAUACAUGAAGUGUUUUAUAUUUUU